UCCCAAGGGUUGGGCUGUUCGCCCAUUAAAGUGGUACGCGAGCUGGGUUCAGAACGUCGUGAGACAGUUCGGUCCCUAUCCGUCGCAGGCGUAGGAAAUUUGAGAAGACCUGUCCUUAGUACGAGAGGACCGGGAUGGACGUACCUCUGGUGUACCAGUUGUCCUGCCAAGGGCAUGGCUGGGUAGCUAUGUACGGAAUGGAUAAGCGCUGAAAGCAUCUAAGCGCGAAGCCAACUUCAAGAUAAGAUUUCCCACCGCAAGGGUAAGACCCCAGAAAGACUAUCUGGUUGAUAGGUCGAAGGUGUAAGUGCAGCAAUGUAUUUAGCUUAUCGAUACUAAUAGGUCGAGGACUUGACCAAU
rnacentral:rRNA from 1 species